GUCCUGGUGGCCCAAUGGUUAAGUGUUUGCUUGCUAACCAAAAGGUUGGUGGUUCGAACCCACCCAGUGGCU
rnacentral:tRNA from 1 species